GAAAGAGUAGUCUGGUGAACGUUGGAUUUUCAAGAGCAUUGUUUUUCGAGAUUGGGAGUAUAAAUGUAGGUAUUUUCGGCAUCAACCAUGGAGGAUUUAGCAGAUUUUCGGGAAAACUAACGGAGGUAAACAGGGAAACUUUUAAAGCUAACAGUUGGAACUUGCACAACACAACACUUGGGGUACUUCUGGUGUUCCAUAAGCUUUAUGAGGUAAAGGCAGGCUAACCAUUCACAUCUGCAAUGAAUGGGGGUUAUGCCUGUGUCCAGCCACAGAUGUGCACGAGGAGUGGAGUUUGGAGCCAGAAGGAUUGCACGAAGAAUUGAGUUUUGGAUUGUAUCCAGCUUCCUGGUAAGGGGAGAUCUGCCCUGAAGGAUACUUAGGUUCAGAUUCUUCCUAACCAGGAUUUUGAAGAAGUUUGCUCUUCGAGAAACCUUUGUAACUAAAUCUUGCAGAUGUUGGUUCCAGUUGAGCUUACGGUCAAAGGUGAUACCCAGGAAUUUGCCAUGACUGACGGCAGGGAUACUCUCACUGUUAAAGGUCAGAUGGAGAGGGACGUAGUUCUUAAUUCUUCUGUUGAACGAUAUGGAGAAACACUUGGACACAGAGAUUUGGAAUCUCCAGGGAGUGAGUGCAGCGGGCUGAGAUGUCAUCCGCGAACAUUUUGACGAUAACGCCUAAAUUGUUUUUUCGGGUUCCUACACAAGGGGAAGUCACGGGUCAUGAUAGUGAAGAGAAUGGGGCCCAGUACUGAGCCUUGGGGAACUCCGACGGAGAUGAUUUUGGCAUGUGACAGUGUACUGUCUAGUUUGACCCGAACCUUCCGCUGUAGCAGGAAGUUCAGGAGCCAUUUGAGGAUGUUCCCUGUAACUCGCGCUUGACUUAUUUUGAAGAGCAGCCCGGGUAGCCACACCAGGUCGUAAGCUUUUUUAAUGUCUAGAAAGACGCAGUGAGUUUCUUUUUUCUUGUUGAAGCCCGAGGUGACGGCAUUCUCCAAAUCCCAUAGGUGGUCGUGUGUGGAACAGCCCUUACGAAAUCCUGCUUGGCUUGAGGGGAGUAUGUUGUAGUGCUCGAGGUGGCAAUGAGAUUCUGAUAACAAAACAUUAGUCCUAUACCUCUCAAUGAGCACUCGUAUAGUUUUAUGAAUGCAACGUAGUAGGUUGCUAACAGUUUUUUGGUUUGUCAGCUGACAUAGUUGAUUAAAAGACGUGUACCAUAAACACCAAGCAUUCUGUGGGCUUCACUUCUAAAACACACUCAGGGAUGAAAACGUACAGAAGCACCAUUAGUUUUUCUUAAGUUUUCCAUUGGAAUAUGACAUAUUUAACAGAAACUUUCGAACACAGCUUUCACCGUUCACACUUAGUCAGCAAGUAAAUAGUGACACAGCAGCGUCAUCUUGUUUUCCAAUUAACAACCGAAAAAUUCAUCAAAAUUGAAAAUAUUGCUUUUUUGAGACGGGAACUGCAUUGAUGUGAACUCUUUAAACAUACUUUUAGAUCGUGAAUCACUCACACACAAUCACAUUUUUUCACUGACUUUUAUUUAUUUAUCCAAAAACCUAGAUAUUUCUAGGAAAAUACAUGAUUUGGGUUCACAGUUCAACAAGGAUGCUGAUUGCGCUUCACACACAUCUAGAAAUUUCGCAAGUUGACGUAUCUCUGGAUUGUUAGCUAGUCAACAUCUGCAUGAUA